rnacentral:rRNA from 1 species
UACGGGGGGGCAAGCGUUGUUCGGAAUUACUGGGCGUAAAGGGCUCGUAGGCGGCCAACUAAGUCAGACGUGAAAUCCCUCGGCUUAACCGGGGAACUGCGUCUGAUACUGGAUGGCUUGAGUUUGGGAGAGGGAUGCGGAAUUCCAGGUGUAGCGGUGAAAUGUGUAGAUAUCUGGAGGAACACCGGUGGCGAAAGCGAGUUACUGGAUCAUAACUGACGCUGAGGAACGAGAGCCAGGGUAGCAAAAGGG